rnacentral:lncRNA from 1 species
UGUUUAUCCUGCAACGUGGCAACUCAAGCCGGCGCUCCGCUAUAUAAAGCGCUGCAACUUCCUAAGCUGCAUAGUCUGAGACAGUCAACUGAACUCAACGAAAAUGAAAUUCAUGUCGCUCUUUCUCGCUGUGGCGAUGGUUCUGUCCGCCCUGAUGGGGGCAGCACGAGCCAUGCCUGAGCCCGACGCCCUGGCCGACGCUGACCCUUGGCGCUCCGGAGGCUACCGCGGAGGCUACCGCGGAGGCUACGGCGGAGGCUACGGCGGAGGCUACCGCGGAGGCUAUGGACGCGGAGGCUACGGCUGGUGAGGCUUCGAAACGAGGACCUCUUCUACCGAGAC